rnacentral:rRNA from 1 species
UCAUCUCCGGGGGUAGAGCACUGUUUCGGCUAGGGGGCCAUCCCGGCUUACCAACCCGAUGCAAACUGCGAAUACCGGAGAAUGUUAUCACGGGAGACACACGGCGGGUGCUAACGUCCGUCGUGAAGAGGGAAACAACCCAGACCGCCAGCUAAGGUCCCAAAGUCAUGGUUAAGUGGGAAACGAUGUGGGAAGGCCCAGACAGCCAGGAUGUUGGCUUAGAAGCAGCCAUCAUUUAAAGAAAGCGUAAUAGCUCACUGGUCGAGUCGGCCUGCGCGGAAGAUGUAACGGGGCUAAACCAUGCACCGAAGCUGCGGCAGCGACACUUUAGUGUUGUUGGGUAGGGGAGCGUUCUGUAAGCCGUUGAAGGUGUCCUGUGAGGGGUGCUGGAGGUAUCAGAAGUGCGAAUGCUGACAUAAGUAACGAUAAAGCGGGUGAAAAGCCCGCUCGCCGGAAGACCAAGGGUUCCUGUCCAACGUUAAUCGGGGCAGGGUGAGUCGACCCCUAAGGCGAGGCCGAAAGGCGUAGUCGAUGGGAAACGGGUUAAUAUUCCCGUACUUGGUGUUACUGCGAAGGGGGGACGGAGAAGGCUAUGUUGGCCGGGCGACGGUAGUCCCGGUUUAAGCGUGUAGGCUGGUUUUCCAGGCAAAUCCGGAAAAUCAAGGCUGAGGCGUGAUGACGAGGCACCACGGUGCUGAAGCAACAAAUGCCCUGCUUCCAGGAAAAGCCUCUAAGCAUCAGGUAACAUCAAAUCGUACCCCAAACCGACACAGGUGGUCAGGUAGAGAAUACCAAGGCGCUUGAGAGAACUCGGGUGAAGGAACUAGGCAAAAUGGUGCCGUAACUUCGGGAGAAGGCACGCUGACACGUAGGUGAAGUGAUUUACUCACGGAGCUGAAGUCAGUCGAAGAUACCAGCUGGCUGCAACUGUUUAUUAAAAACACAGCACUGUGCAAACACGAAAGUGGACGUAUACGGUGUGACGCCUGCCCGGUGCCGGAAGGUUAAUUGAUGGGGUCAGCGCAAGCGAAGCUCCUGAUCGAAGCCCCGGUAAACGGCGGCCGUAACUAUAACGGUCCUAAGGUAGCGAAAUUCCUUGUCGGGUAAGUUCCGACCUGCACGAAUGGCGUAAUGAUGGCCAGGCUGUCUCCACCCGAGACUCAGUGAAAUUGAACUCGCUGUGAAGAUGCAGUGUACCCGCGGCAAGACGGAAAGACCCCGUGAACCUUUACUAUAGCUUGACACUGAACAUUGAGCCUUGAUGUGUAGGAUAGGUGGGAGGCUUUGAAGCGUGGACGCCAGUCUGCGUGGAGCCGACCUUGAAAUACCACCCUUUAAUGUUUGAUGUUCUAACGUGGACCCGUAAUCCGGGUUGCGGACAGUGUCUGGUGGGUAGUUUGACUGGGGCGGUCUCCUCCUAAAGAGUAACGGAGGAGCACGAAGGUUGGCUAAUCCUGGUCGGACAUCAGGAGGUUAGUGCAAUGGCAUAAGCCAGCUUGACUGCGAGCGUGACGGCGCGAGCAGGUGCGAAAGCAGGUCAUAGUGAUCCGGUGGUUCUGAAUGGAAGGGCCAUCGCUCAACGGAUAAAAGGUACUCCGGGGAUAACAGGCUGAUACCGCCCAAGAGUUCAUAUCGACGGCGGUGUUUGGCACCUCGAUGUCGGCUCAUCACAUCCUGGGGCUGAAGUAGGUCCCAAGGGUAUGGCUGUUCGCCAUUUAAAGUGGUACGCGAGCUGGGUUUAGAACGUCGUGAGACAGUUCGGUCCCUAUCUGCCGUGGGCGCUGGA